GCCGCGCGGACACCACCGGGGCGGGGCUGCAGGGCCCGCCGCCCCAUUGGGCCUUGCCGGGGAGGAGGCGGGGCCAGGGCCGCCGACGCUUCCAGCGUCCCGCGGGAGCCGGGACCCGGCGGCCAGGCCCGGCUGGUGCUUCUCUGGGCGUCGCUGAAAGCCCCGCUCCGCAGGAGCAUUCCUUCCUUCUGAGUACGGGGCAGGACUCUCUGGGAUGGAGGGGUCUUAUGACCUGCAAGCAAACAAGGAGAAAGAGGGAGAAACCACAGCCUCUAUUUAUUGUGCUGGUCUGGAAUUCCUGGUGAUGGUAACUAUUGGCCCUGAAAGCUGCUGCAGAGAAAGAUGGUGUUUAAAGGAAAGGGGCUUAGAUCCUCCCAUUUGGGAUGGAGUUUCACUUUGUCGCCCAGUCUGGAGUGCAGUGGCGUGAUCUCAGCUCACUAUGACCUCCACCUCCCAGGUUCAAGCAAUUCUCCUGCCUCAGCCUCCUGAGUAGCUGAGAUUAUAGGUGUACGCCACCAUGCCCAGAUGGAGUCUCCCUCUGUCGCCAGGCUGGAGUGCAAUGGCGUGAUUUCGGCUCACUGCAACCUCUGCCUCCCGGGUUCAAGCGAUUCUCCUGCCUCAGCCUCCCAAGUAGCUGGGACUACAGGCAUGUCCCACCACGUCCAGCUAAUUUUUAUAUUUUUAGUAGAGAUGGGAUUUCACCAUGUUGGCCAGGAUGGUCUCAAUCUUUUGACCUCGUGAUCUGCCCAUCUCGGCCUCCCAAAGUGCUGGGAUUACAGGCGUGAACCAUCGCAUCCGGCCUAAAUAAAUAUUUCUAAAACAUAUUCAUUUCUAACUUUUAACUCAGUAAAUAUGGUUAUAUAUAACCCAUAAAUGCAAAACCUCUUUGGAAUCCUCAAAAACAAUGUAUGUAAAAGGAUGCCAGUAAAACCACCUCUGCAAAAAUUCUAACAGUGAGAGAAAUAUAAUAUAACUGACUUCAUCUUGCUUCUAACCUCACAAGCUAACUGCCUUUGCUCAUUCCUGGGCAUAGGCCAAGCUAACUACGGGAAGAAUUUUGUUUAUAGUUUAACCUUAAAGCAAAGAUUAGCCUGGCACAGUGGCUCAUGCCUGUAAUCUAAGCACUUUGGGAGGCUGAGGCUGGAGGAUCACUUGAAGCCAGGGGUUUGAGACCAGCCUGAACAACAGAGUGAGACCCUGUUUCUACAGAAAAAAAAAAAAAAGAGAGAGA